rnacentral:rRNA from 1 species
AACGAACGCUGGCGGCAGGCCUAACACAUGCAAGUCGAGCGCACCCUUCGGGGUGAGCGGCGGACGGGUGAGUAACGCGUGGGAACGUGCCCUUCUCUGCGGAAUAGCCUCGGGAAACUGAGAGUAAUACCGCAUACGCCCUUUGGGGGAAAGAUUUAUCGGAGAAGGAUCGGCCCGCGUUGGAUUAGGUAGUUGGUGGGGUAAUGGCCCACCAAGGCGACGAUCCAUAGCUGGUUUGAGAGGAUGAUCAGCCACACUGGGACUGAGACACGGCCCAGACUCCUACGGGAGGCAGCAGUGGGGAAUCUUAGACAAUGGGGGCAACCCUGAUCUAGCCAUGCCGCGUGAGUGAUGAAGGCCUUAGGGUUGUAAAGCUCUUUAAGCUGGGAAGAUAAUGACGGUACCAGCAGAAGAAGCCCCGGCUAACUCCGUG